rnacentral:rRNA from 1 species
CCUACGGGAGGCAGCAGUGGGAAAUAUUGCACAAUGGGCGCAAGCCUGAUGCAGCCAUGCCGCGUGUGUGAAGAAGGCCUUCGGGUUGUAAAGCACUUUCAGCGGGGAGGAAGGCGGUGAGGUUAAUAACCUCAUCGAUUGACGUUACCCGCAGAAGAAGCACCGGCUAACUCCGUGCCAGCAGCCGCGGUAAUACGGAGGGUGCAAGCGUUAAUCGGAACUACUGGGCGUAAAGCGCACGCAGGCGGUCUGUCAAGUCGGAUGUGAAAUCCCCGGGCUCAACCUGGGAACUGCAUUCGAAACUGGCAGGCUAGAGUCUUGUAGAGGGGGGUAGAAUUCCAGGUGUAGCGGUGAAAUGCGUAGAGAUCUGGAGGAAUACCGGUGGCGAAGGCGGCCCCCUGGACAAAGACUGACGCUCAGGUGCGAAAGCGUGGGGAGCAAACAGGAUUAGAUACCCUAGUAGUC